rfam:Schistosoma curassoni strain Dakar, Senegal genome assembly, scaffold: SCTD_scaffold0016194
CAGCUGACGAGUCCCAAAUAGGACGAAACGCGCGUCCUGGAU